UAUACCACAAAUGGAAGGAUGUGAGAAAAUAAUCGCUGAGGUCCCUUCCAGGUUGAAAGUUCAAUAUUAUGAAUGAUCCCUGUGGUGCUUCCUCAAUAGUAAAGAGAAAAAAAAAAAAAACCAAAAAGAAAGAAAAGGAGGAAAGUUGAUGGAGUUGGGGAUGGCAGGCAACUUAUUCAAGUUCACACGACCAUAAUGCUGCUGAGCUAGUCUUUGAAUCUGGGCCUGUAUGAUGCCACAGUCCUUUCACAGAAUCCCAUGGCUCUAAUCAUAUAUCCUGCAUAUUUUUGAAAGAUGGAAGGCAAUGUUUAGAGAAGCCUGUUACUUCUGAAAGACAUGACUUGGCUUUACAAGGAUGGAGGAGUAUUUGCUUAGCAGUUGGGAACUCCAGCUUUGGCAAUACACUAGCAUGGGUCUGAAUAUCAGCUCUUCCCUCUAAAUCACUGAGUGCCCUUCAGCAAGUUCAAUAACUUGUGUAGGUCUCUAUCCUUACCUGAAAAAUGGGAGUGCUAACAGUACCUUCCUCAUAGGGCUGUUUUUAAUAGUAAAUGAAAUAAUAUAUGGAAAGCACCUAACACAGUGUGGACGUGGUAAGUUUUAACCAUUGUGAGGAGUAUACGGUUGACCCUUGAAUGAUACAGGUUGGAACAACACUGGUCUACUUAUACGUGAACUUUUUUUCAAUAAUUAUAUUGGAAAAGUUUUUGGAGAUUUGCAACAACUUGAAAAAACUUGGAGAUGAACCGUGUAGCCUAGAAAUAUCGGCCUGCGACUUUCCUCGUGGAGGAUAGAACGCCACUUCUUCUCCGUAUCUGAAC